rnacentral:lncRNA from 1 species
CCCAAAGGGCAUAAACAUUACAACAUCAAUAAUUUUUUCAUAAUACAAUACAAACAAUGAGAUAAAAAAAAAAAAAAGUUUAAACGAGAACUAUUUAAGUUCUUAAAGAAUACGUAGAUAAAGAAUCUAUAGUAUGUUUUUUUUUUAAUACUAAUGCAUUUUAUUGCAAGUGUGGUUGAUAUAGAUAACAAACAAGCAGCCCAAAAAGAAAAAAAAGAAAAAUAUAUCCACAUAUGUAUAGUACACAAAAAGUUGGAUCAAUUAAAUAUAUAAUAAUUAGCCAAAAAGAAAGUAGAAAUUAAACAUGUCCAUGACUCAUCCUGUGUCAGCAGCAAAUAGGAAAGCAUUAUGGUUUCCUAAAGGCAGCUGACACCAGGGGGCGAUACCUUAUGGGCCAUAGGCAUGUAAAAUGUGUGUAAAUGUCUCUUUCCUACCUGUAUCAAAAGCAAACAAGGAAG